UCCGGAAGGGGCUAGCGUUGUUCGGAAUUACUGGGCGUAAAGAGCGCGUAGGCGGCUUACCAAGUUGGGGGUGAAAUCCCGGAGCUCAACUCCGGAACUGCCUUCAAAACUGGUAGACUCGAGUCCGGAAGAGGGGCGUGGAAUUCCCAGUGUAGAGGUGAAAUUCGUAGAUAUUGGGAAGAACACCGGUGGCGAAGGCGGCGCCCUGGUCCGGUACUGACGCUGAGGAGCGUACGCGUGCGCAGCACACAGG
rnacentral:rRNA from 1 species